GUUCUAUUUGUUUUCUGAAGGAAAAAGGCCUCCCUAAGUGACUGGGUCACUCCAUAAGGAUCUUCUUUCUGCUGCAGAGUCUAGAACCUCUAACCAAGGUCUUCCUUUAUGCUUGGGAAGGAAACAAUCACCAAGCACAGGAGACUCAUCGUGCGCAGAGCGGUCCGCAAUCUGCUUCUGCGAAACAAUGCGGUAGAUCUCUGCAAUGAGAACACACUGCUCAGAGCACAGAAGGACGUGGCCUCCAACACAGCACACGUCAGAGCAAGCUGUCAGAGGUGAUGCAAGAACCCAAGAACAAGGAAGAUUUUAACUUGAGAGCUGUGAAAGGGAAUCCAGUCUCAGCAGCUGUGGUAACCACAAAACAUGCCAGCGAAGAAGAGCCAUUACCUCAUGAGGUCCUCCAAAAAACAAACCCGUACCUGUAAGGAUGUUCUUGAAGGCUUCUUCUACAUUUGUUGAAUCCAGAGCAGAAGUUUCAAUAAAAGAUAAGUUAUUUUUUUCUGUAAUAGAUAACAAGUGGUUCAAUUAAGAAUUGUACUAUCACUUCACAUUUACUUUGAGGUUUUCACCUUAAUUUUUAGGCCAAACCACAUGGGGUACAAUCUUUUUUGUUUUCCUGUUACGUUAGGAACUUGGUGCACCCAUUAUUUAGCUGCUGGUGUUUCAG